AUGCCACAUAUCAAAACUCUGGAAGUUCUCAAUGAUUGUAUGGAGAACCAAAGGAUACUGUUAAAACUGCCAGAUUGGCUUGUGUCAAGAUGGAACCGCAAAGCUAAGGAAAUAAGGCAAAUCAGUGGCUAUUACCCAUCAUUCCAGAUGUUUGUAGAAUUCAUGUCAGCUGAAGCAGACUUGGCCUGCGACCCCAUAACCUCAAUACAAGCACUCAAAGGUUUAGAAUCAGAAAACCCCAAACACAAAAAAACUCAAGUCAUUCAAGCCAAAACUCUAACAACAAACUCAGAUAACUCAAUUUUCAGUGCCACAACGUGCAUUUUUUGCAAAAGGUCUGGUCACUCUCUCAAUAAGUGUCGCAAGUUUACAGAGAAAACUGUACAAGAUCGUGUCAAGUUUGUACAAACAGAGAAACUUUGUUUUGGAUGUUUAAUGACAGGGCAUCACUCCAAGAAGUGCAACAAGAGAAGCACAUGUGAUAAGUGUCAAAGGAAACAUCCAACAUGCUUGCACGAUGACAACUUCACAGAACGCAAAAAGACAGUUACUGUGAAAAUUGAAGGUGAGUCUCAAGAGAAGACAGAUGUUCAAGAAGAGACACAUACAAGAGACAAAGACAUAUCUGCAACCGCAACAACCAAUAGAGUUUCCCAAGAAAUUGUAAGCACUUUGACAUCGUCAAUACUGCCCGUCUGGGUCUCAUCCACAAAGUACCCAGAUAAAGAAGUACUUGUGUACGCUCUUCUCGACUCACAGAGCGAUACCUCUUUCAUCUUGGAUGACGUAGCUCAAGAACUUGAGACAGACAAAAGCAAAGCCAGUCUACGGCUAUCGACAAUGUCUGCUAAGCUAACAGUUAUUCCAUGUGAAAAGCUCCUAAACCUUCAAGUAAGAGGAUAUGAAAGCAAGCAGAGAAUUACUCUGCCACCAGUCUUCACAAGAGAGUUUAUCCCAGCGAACAAGUCGCACAUCCCAACGUCUGAAACCGCUUUAAAGUGGCCACAUCUUGAAAAACUAGCGGAUUGCAUACCUCCUCUGCUAGAAUGUGAAGUUGGCUUACUUAUUGGCUAUAACUGCCAACAAGCUCUUCUACCAAGAGAAGUCUUGUCUGGUACAGAAAACCAACCGUAUGCACAACUGACAGAUCUUGGCUGGAGCAUUGUAGGCUGUUCAUAUCAAGUACACAGCCAAAGCGAUGUUAUCGGCACCAGUCAUAGAGUCAUUGUGCGUGAAGUAACUCCUAAAGUACAUCAAACAGUCAAACUUAAGCAGGAAGUACACUUUGUAUGCAGAACCCAAGUUAAAGAAGUCAGCCUACUGGAUGUGAUAAAAGCUCUGGAAGCAGAUUUCAAUGAGCAUGCAACAGAUGACAAUCCAGUGUCCCAAGAAGACAUUCUUUUCAUGUCCAAAGUGAAGAAAGGUAUAAAACAGAAGGAAGAUGGUCAUUACGAACUUCCACUUCCAUUCAAAACAGACAAUCCAAAUUUCCCUAAUAACAAACGAUAUGCAGAACAAAGACUUUCUUCAUUGGAACGUCGUCUCAAAAAAGAUAACCAAUACUACAAAGAUUAUGCCAAGUUUAUGGCUGAUAUAAUAUCUCGUGGAGAUGCUGAAAAGGUCCCAGAACAAGAGCUCAACAAAGAAGUAGCAUGGUACAUACCACACCAUGGGGUGUACCACCCCCACAAGCCAGGUAAAAUUCGUGUAGUCUUUGAUGGUUCAGCUCGCUAUCAAGACACGUCCCUCAAUGAUCACCUCCUGACUGGACCAGAUCUCACCAACGCCCUAGUCGGAGUAUUGUGCCGAUUUAGGAAGGGUCCUAUUGCCAUAAUGUGUGACGUAGAAAGAAUGUUCCAUCAAUUCCAUGUGGUCAAGGAACAUCAAGACUAUCUGAGAUUUCUCUGGUGGGAUGAAGGCAAUCUAUGUUCCAAGCCAUCAGUGUACAGGAUGAGAGUUCACCUUUUCGGAGCAGCUUCGUCUCCAGGAUGUUGCAAUUUUGGACUGAAACACCUCGCAGCACAAAGCAGAGAGAAGUUCAGCAAAGAGACCAUCCACUUUAUUCAAAGAGGAUUUUAUGUUGAUGAUGGACUUGUUAGCGUCACAUCAACUGCUGAAGCUAUUAAGUUGGUUGAAGAAUCAAGAAAUCUCUGCAAGACAGGUAAUCUCCGCCUUCACAAGUUUGUGUCAAACAGCAAAGAAGUGCUUGCAGCAAUACCAGAAGCAGAACAAGUUCAAGCUAAGUCUCAAGACAUAACCCUAGGAGAAACUCAAAUUGAACGUGCACUUGGAGUACAAUGGUGCAUUGAAGCGGAUGAGUUUCAAUUCAGGAUCAUAGUCAAAGAAAACCCAACAACACGGAGAGGGGUUCUUUCGACUGUAGCCUCAGUUUAUGACCCCCUUGGGUUUGUCGCACCUUUUGUACUGAUCGGAAAGCAA
rnacentral:lncRNA from 1 species